AAAAUUUUAUUAAUCCUUUUUUUUAAAAAAAGUUAAUAUAAAAUUAUAGCAAAAAAAAGGAACCUGAACUUUAGUAACACAGCUGGAACAAUCCGCAGCGGCGGCGGCAGCGGCGGGAGAAGAGAUUUAAUUUAGUUGAUUUUCUGUGGUUGUUGGUUGUUCGCUAGUCUCACGGUGAUGGAAGCUGCACAUUUUUUCGAAGGGACCGAGAAGCUGCUGGAGGUUUGGUUCUCCAGGCAGCAGCCCGACGCAAACCAAGGAUCUGGAGAUCUUCGCACCAUCCCCAGAUCUGAGUGGGGCAUACUUCUGAAGGAUGUGCAAUGUUCAAUCAUUAAGUGUGACAAAAACUGACAAGCAGGAAGCUUGUUUCAUUUUGAAGACAUGUGGUACCACCCUCUUGCUGAAAGCACUGGUUCCCCUGUUGAAACUUGCUAGGGAUUACAGUGGGUUUGAUUCGAUUCAAAGCUUCUUUUAUUCUCGUAAGAAUUUCAUGAAGCCUUCUCACCAAGGGUACCCACACCGGAAUUUCCAGGAAGAAAUAGAGUUUCUUAAUGCAAUUUUCCCAAAUGGAGCAGCAUAUUGUAUGGGACGUAUGAAUUCUGACUGUUGGUACUUGUAUACUUUGGAUUUCCCAGAGACUCGGGUAAUCAGUCAGCCAGAUCAAACCCUGGAAAUUCUGAUGAGUGAGCUUGACCCAGCAGUUAUGGACCAGUUCUACAUGAAAGAUGGUGUUACUGCAAAGGAUGUCACUCGUGAGAGAGGAAUCCGUGACCUGAUACCAGGUUCUGUCAUUGAUGCCACACUUUUCAAUCCUUGUGGGUAUUCAAUGAAUGGAAUGAAAUCGGAUGGAACUUACUGGACUAUUCACAUCACUCCAGAACCAGAAUUUUCUUAUGUUAGCUUUGAAACAAACUUAAGUCAGACCUCCUAUGAUGACCUGAUCAGGAAAGUUGUGGAAGUCUUCAAGCCAGGAAAAUUUGUGACCACCCUGUUUGUAAAUCAGAGUUCUAAAUGUCGCACAGUGCUUUCUCCACCCCAGAAGACUGAAGGCUUUAAACGUCUUGAUUGCCAGAGCGCUACGUUCAAUGAUUACAAUUUUGUUUUUACCAGUUUUGCUAAGAAGCAGCAACAACAGCAGAGUUGA